rnacentral:misc_RNA from 1 species
AAAUGCGAUAAGUAAUGUGAAUUGCAGAAUUCAGUGAAUCAUCGAAUCUUUGAACGCACAUUGCGCCCGCCAGUAUUCUGGCGGGCAUGCCUGUUCGAGCGUCAUUUCAACCAUCAAGCCCCCGGCUUGUGUUGGGGACCUGCGGCUGCCCGCAGGCCCUGAAAAACAGUGGCGGGCUGGCUGUCACACCGAGCGUAGUAGCAUACAUUCUCGCUCAGGGCGUGCUGCGGGUUCCGGCCGUUAAACGACCUUCAUAACCCAAGGUUGACCUCGGAUCAGGUAGGAAGACCCGCUGAACUUAAGC